GAGUUUGAUCGUGGCUCAGAUUGAACGCUGGCGGCAGGCCUAACACAUGCAAGUCGGGCGGUAGAGAGAAGCUUGCUUCUCUUGAGAGCGGCGGACGGGUGAGUAAUGCCUAGGAAUCUGCCUGGUAGUGGGGGAUAACGCUCGGAAACGGACGCUAAUACCGCAUACGUCCUACGGGAGAAAGCAGGGGACCUUCGGGCCUUGCGCUAUCAGAUGAGCCUAGGUCGGAUUAGCUAGUUGGUGAGGUAAUGGCUCACCAAGGCGACGAUCCGUAACUGGUCUGAGAGGAUGAUCAGUCACACUGGAACUGAGACACGGUCCAGACUCCUACGGGAGGCAGCAGUGGGGAAUAUUGGACAAUGGGCGAAAGCCUGAUCCAGCCAUGCCGCGUGUGUGAAGAAGGUCUUCGGAUUGUAAAGCACUUUAAGUUGGGAGGAAGGGCAGUAAAUUAAUACUUUGCUGUUUUUGACGUUACCGACAGAAUAAGCACCGGCUAACUCUGUGCCAGCAG
rnacentral:rRNA from 1 species